rnacentral:rRNA from 1 species
GAACGCUUCUUUUUCCACCGGCAGCUUGCUCCACCGGAAAAAGAGGAGUGGCGAACGGGUGAGUAACACGUGGGUAACCUGCCCAUCAGAAGGGGAUAACACUUGGAAACAGGUGCUAAUACCGUAUAACAAUCGAAACCGCAUGGUUUUGAUUUGAAAGGCGCUUUCGGGUGUCGCUGAUGGAUGGACCCGCGGUGCAUUAGCUAGUUGGUGAGGUAACGGCUCACCAAGGCCACGAUGCAUAGCCGACCUGAGAGGGUGAUCGGCCACAUUGGGACUGAGACACGGCCCAAACUCCUACGGGAGGCAGCAGUAGGGAAUCUUCGGCAAUGGACGAAAGUCUGACCGAGCAACGCCGCGUGAGUGAAGAAGGUUUUCGGAUCGUAAAACUCUGUUGUUAGAGAAGAACAAGGAUGAGAGUAACUGUUCAUCCCUUGACGGUAUCUAACCAGAAAGCCACGGCUAACUACGUGCCAGCAGCCGCGGUAAUACGUAGGUGGCAAGCGUUGUCCGGAUUUAUUGGGCGUAAAGCGAGCGCAGGCGGUUUCUUAAGUCUGAUGUGAAAGCCCCCGGCUCAACCGGGGAGGGUCAUUGGAAACUGGGAGACUUGAGUGCAGAAGAGGAGAGUGGAAUUCCAUGUGUAGCGGUGAAAUGCGUAGAUAUAUGGAGGAACACCAGUGGCGAAGGCGGCUCUCUGGUCUGUAACUGACGCUGAGGCUCGAAAGCGUGGG